UUAUAGAAAAUAUGGACCGUGGGAUUUGCACUAAGUGGUGAAAUUCGGUAAAGAGAGAGUAUUGAAUGGAAAAUGAUCAUUUGAUGCGACAUAAAAAAUAGAGGAAAACUGUUUUCCUCCACUGGUGGCGGCACAUCCCAAGUGGUGGCAUACUGCCCAAGGAGCGCGGUGGCACAUUACUCGAGGUUGUAAUGUACCUCACCUGGCCGACGUGCGCUGCAAGCCUAGCCUGCAGGCACCAUGCCAUGCGGAGGAGCUAGCCUGCGCGCACGCAGGGCCGCCGUGCAUAGGCCCCAGGUGUGCAGGCCUA
rnacentral:lncRNA from 1 species